GCACAUAUAAUAGGUCCAUCCUGCCCAGUGAUUUUAUUCAACGGCCGCGGUAUCCUAACCGUGCAAAGGUAGCAUAAUCAAUUGCCUUCUAAUUAAAGGCUAGUAUGAAAGGACACACAAGAAUAGAGCUGUCUCAUUUAGAAAACAAUAAACUGUCAUAAAGGUGAAAAGACCUUUAUAAAAAUAAAAGACAAGAAGACCCUAUAGAGCUUAAUUUGUAAAAGACCUAACACUUCUCUAUAAAUUUAGUUGGGACAACUAAAAACCAUAACAACCGUUUUAUCUUUCGACACCACACCGUCAACGAAUCAGAAACAAGCUACCUUAGGGAUAACAGGCUAAUUUUACUAGAGAGACCACAUUGACAGUAAAGAUGUGGCACCUCGAUGUUGGCUUAGUGUUACUGUUAGGCGCAGCAGCCUAAUAAGU
rnacentral:rRNA from 1 species